rnacentral:tRNA from 1 species
GCCGGUGUGGUGGAAUUGGUAGACACAAGGGACUUAAAAUCCCUCGGUAGUGAUACCGUACCGGUUCGAGCCCGGUCACCGGCACCA